rnacentral:rRNA from 1 species
GAUGAACGCUGGCGGCGUGCCUAAUACAUGCAAGUCGAGCGAACAGGCGAGGAGCUUGCUCCUCUGACGUUAGCGGCGGACGGGUGAGUAACACGUGGAUAACCUACCUAUAAGACUGGGAUAACUUCGGGAAACCGGAGCUAAUACCGGAUAAUAUAUUGAACCGCAUGGUUCAAUAGUGAAAGACGGUUUUGCUGUCACUUAUAGAUGGAUCCGCGCCGCAUUAGCUAGUUGGUAAGGUAACGGCUUACCAAGGCAACGAUGCGUAGCCGACGUGAGAGGGGGGUCGGCCACACUGGAACUGAGACACGGUCCAGACUCCUACGGGAGGCAGCAGUAGGGAAUCUUCCGCAAUGGGCGAAAGCCUGACGGAGCAACGCCGCGUGAGUGAUGAAGGUCUUCGGAGCGUAAAACUCUGUUAUUAGGGAAGAACAAAUGUGUAAGUAACUAUGCACGUCUUGACGGUACCUAAUCAGAAAGCCACGGCUAACUACGUG